rnacentral:rRNA from 1 species
ACAGGUGCUGCAUGGCUGUCGUCAGCUCGUGUCGUGAGAUGUUGGGUUAAGUCCCGCAACGAGCGCAACCCUCGCCCUUAGUUGCCAUCGGUUCGGCCGGGCACUCUAGGGGAACUGCCGGUGACAAGCCGGAGGAAGGCGGGGAUGACGUCAAGUCCUCAUGGCCCUUAUGGGCUGGGCUACACACGUGCUACAAUGGCGGUGACAGUGGGCAGCGAGGCAGCGAUGCCAAGCCAAUCCCAAAAAGCCGUCUCAGUUCGGAUUGUUCUCUGCAACUCGAGAGCAUGAAGGUGGAAUCGCUAGUAAUCGUGGAUCAGCAUGCCACGGUGAAUACGUUCCCGGGCCUUGUACACACCGCCCGUCACACCAUGGGAGUUGGUUUUA